rnacentral:lncRNA from 1 species
AGGGAUUUCAAAUUAAAUUAGACUCUAAAACACAUAGUCUGAAAAUUUCACAACUAGCAGAUGAUACUACUCUUUUUUUUAAAAUGUAAGCAGGGAAAUAAGCUAUGCUUUAAACUUGAUUGAAAUAUUUGGAACACUCUCAGGUCUUAAACUUAACCGAUCUAAAACAGAGGGCAUAUGGUUAGGCCAAUUGAAAAGCUGCAAAGAUAAAUAUGAAAAUAUAAACUGGAAUA